UCUAUUUUAGCGAUGGCUACGAUACGGAAACGACUAACGAACCAAUCCAUUCAAACUUCGACUAAUAGCUAGCGAAUGACGCGGAAUUUCAGCCUACGAUUUGGUAUCGUAACAGGCUAUUCCACGACUAUUCCACGAACGAGAUGAAUGAAAACGUUAUAUAAACAUACAGCUACAAAAACAUACAAGAUCGAAUAGAAGAUACGUAUCUAGCGGAUGAAUAUUCUGUGUAUUACGUAAAAGGUACGAUGAAAACAAACAAAUUAUGAAAAAAUUUAUAAAAGGAGCCUCCAUGUAUGCUUGUUGGAAUCUGAUGAACGAACACACUGAUUACAUGUGUAUAUUUUAGUAGUACACUAUGUGCUAUGUUAACGUAACACGGAGAACAGACUUGCAACGAAUUUCGUGGUACAUGCGCAGUUGCGAAUCCAGCCCGCGGAAGAUCUUCCGAAGAAGGAUCUUAGGAGCGUGAAUUUAGUUCUUAAUUGAUAGAAAACGCGAGUUCCGACUGGACUUUGAAUCGUUAGUUUAUUAGUAAUUUAUUGAAUAGGGUGUUUUGAACGAUGCCAAUAAUGAAAACUCGGAGUUGGAAUAAGGAUUCGGUACUAGUACAUAAAUGGUUGGUUAUCUAACAGGUUAUUAGAUAUUGUAAAAUACGUCGGAUUCUCGGUAGGUUUUCCUCUACGGUAAAGCAUAAUAAACGACCAAAUUUUGUCUCCCACGUUUCGCUUCGAGAUAUUCUGACGGUUUGUUUGUAGCCAUUCCAAAUACAUUAACACUAAUGUAUUUUGUAUGUAACAAGUAACGUUGCACAACGUGUAACUCGCACUAUAUAAGUUAACUGCUAAAUCGUUUUCUUGGUAAUUCUUUAAAUUAGAUGCAAUUCAUAGAACCUGUUUAUCGUUCCGAUCAUAUCAAUCAAAUAUUUUAGGAUGGCAUUCGUCCGAGAAUAAUCGUUCGCGUGUCACGCGCUAUUGAACAAUUUUAAUUAAAACAAAUUUAAAAAUUCAUAAUAACAACGAUCCGUACCAUGCUUAAAGCAAAUCUCCAUUAAAUCGUUGCCAAUGACAAUCUUUCUAAAUUAGAUGCAAUUCAUCGAAUUUGAUUUGCUAAUUCUAUUUAUAGAACAUUACCAGGAAGAUAAAUGUUACUCGUAACAAUUGUUGAACAAGUUGGAUAAAAAUAAAUAUUAGCAAGGAUUGAUCGAAGCUGUCGCUAUUGCAUGUGCGACAGAGCACAUGGCUCGCGGAAAAAUGGAUUCCUUUUAACUGGUUUACGUGCGAUCUCGCCUCUGCUAUCGCGUCAUCGUUCUCGCUUACGAGUUCGUAUUUCCGUGGGCCUCCCGUCGAAACGUCACGAAUUCCGACGAUUUGACGCCGUACACUUACGAUGUUGGCUGCCAAUCGAUCGCCGCUGCCAGACUAGCUACCCCCUCCCCGCCGAUAUUCUCGACAUUGGCAAACAUUUCACGAACUGUUAUACGAUCAGAGGUUCGUAAAACUUGACAAUUUUUACAAAAUCGCGAUACCGUAGAAAUACAUUCCAAUCGAACGAGCGCUGUAACAAUUUAAUCGCCUCACGCAAAUAUUUACUGAACUAUAUAUUAUUGGGAAAAGUGUAUCAAAUGAAACUUGUUCUGUUUCAAGGGGGCCGUCUUACGAUGACCAUCGAAUUUAUCUGAUCUGGGUGCACGCGUUUUCCAGGUCUCGAGCUAUCGUUGUUCUUUUAAAUGGAACUAUACAAUUCUUUUUAUAGAUUUUUAUAUAAUUUUUUUUUUUCAUGAAGUUCUUAAUUCUUUACAGAGAAAGUAUUAAAGUGCUUGUAUGAAGAAAUGUUUAAUUUGAAAAACAUUUGCACGUUAACGAAAUCGAGCGUAUGAACAAGGAAAACGUAAACAUAAAAGCACUGCGUUAUCUUUCCUUGUCCUUCAUACGAUAAGUCUUGCAAGAUUAAAGUUGAAGUAUCUUUUAAACUAGCCAUUUUUCGAUCGAAGUACCUUAACGACUUUUUGCAAAGAAUUAAAAAAUGCAUUGCAUGGUCUCUAGAAAAAUGUAUAUUUUUAUCUUAUAAAAGCAAGAUAUUGUAACUGUUAUAGAACAAAUUUUUAAGGUUAUGGUAUAAGAGUUAAUUAAUUAAUUUUUCAUUACGAAUAAUCAUUAUCGAUGGACAGAAUUUGAUUUUGGCUAUAAAUAACCGUUCAAACUAAAUACUAUCUUUGAUAACCAGUAAUCGUUACCUAUCGAGGACAGGAAUUUUAUUUUGGUUAUGAUUAGUCAUUAUCGAUGACGGAAAAUUAAUUUUGGUUACGAAUAAUUAUUAUCGGGAAUAAAAAAGUUUUCUGUUUAUAUUUGGCUAUUGUUAAUUGUUGGUAGCAUCACUGAGAAUUAGCGCAUAUUUAUUGGCAACAUAAAAAAAGCUGAUUAUAAAAUUUAUUAUAUUUUUAAAAACAGCUCGAAAAUAUGUGAAACAGAGAAUAAAAUGAAAAUAUUGUACUACCAUAACUUUUAUCUCAUUCGUUGUUUCACACAUUUUCAUACAGUUUCUUUACUUAAUAAAUAAAUCUUAUAAUUAAGUUCUUUUAUGCUGUCAGUGAAUAGUAAUUAUCAGUAAUAUUAAUGACAAAUUGACAAUAGUCGAAUGUAAUCAAAAAAUAAUGUUUUCGCAGCUGACAUUGAUUAGCGAUAAUAAAACAAAUUUUUCGGUAUCGAUCAUAGUUAAUCAGGUGUAAUUAGGUUAACCAAAUUAUAGUUAACCAAAAAGCUUCUGUUUCAUUAAUAUUAAUAUUAUUUAAAUAUUAAAUUUCUGUCAUCGAUAAUAGUUACUGGUAAAAAAUAUUUUAAUCGAUAUAAGUUUCAUUUGAAACAUUAUUUCGAGUAAUGUAUAGCGUGUGAGAUAUUUACAUGGAUCGAUUAAAAUGAGACACCCUGUAUAACACCUAGCAACUGGAAUUGUUCACUCAAAUAAGAAUUUCAAAUUUUACGAAAUAUUACUUUUUUAUUAAAAAAGUUCUAUCUCUUCCAUUAGUCAUAACAAUAAGUCGAUGCUUGGAAAAUAACACUUAUCGUGUGCCAUUGAUAUUUAAUGAUAAAUCACUAGAUGUUUUAUGUAUGUACUAAGAUUGUCGACGUGGAUAAUAUUAAUUGAUUUUCGCGGAAAGCUACGUAACUGUUACACUUUUCGCUAGCUUUUAUUGCGCCUUCCAUUUUCCUUUUUUCCUUUAUAUUUUUCUUAAAAACUGUCCACGUGGAGAUAAACGAGAUUGGGAAAUAUUACACAUUUGUAUGAUUUACAAAUAACGUAUUUAUUUUGGUUCUCUGCUUCGUCUCCAUUGUAUAUUUGAAAAAGAUAAUGGCGAACGACACUAGUUCCAAAAAACGUCGAAAAACCAAAGAAACCGCAAACUAGCGAAGAUACGAUGAUAUAUUGUGGUACUGAGAUAUAUCAUAAUAUGCUUAUUUUAACAUUAAGUAUACUAUGAUAGAAAAAUGUUGAAGUUAUUGAAAAUAUUAUAAAUAUAAUAUAAAUAUAAAUAUACUAUAAUACAGUAAUAGAACACUUAGCGUAUAGGUUAUAAAAAUUACAUUGGCGACACUGCAAUACAGAUACAUGUAGGUAACAUGCUAAGAAGCAAGUGAAAUUCUACUAAACGCGCACUUGUGUAAAUGAAGAUAUACGUACUAGUCAUUAAGACUCACUGCAAUAAAUAACAUACAUACAUAUUUAAAAAAGACAAAAAAAAAAAAAAAAGAAAAAUAAUGCAGGUAAUAGUCGUACGUUGUAUCUGACGAUUGACGAAGAAUUCUGGUAAAGGAAGGGACAAAAAAAGAGAAGAAAAAGACACGGACAGGAAUCGAGAGGAAGAGAGGAGGGUAGAGAAAGAAAGAAAGCGAGCGAGCAGGCAAAACCCCACGGAGAAAGAGGAGGCGAGAGAGAGAGAGAGAGAGUUGCGCGUACCUAAGACACGUUAUUCUUGUUCAUUUCCAAGAAUAAAUCCGUAAGAAUCCAGCUGGUCGCACAAUACGAGUUUCUCUUAACAAAAUACGCUGCUCCCUGCGUCCCUCUCCCUGUCAAACAUUUUGCAAGCUUUCCGAUUCACUCUAGGUCCAAUAUACCUGGCGAGCAUUUGUUUCAAGGAAAUUUUCACUGGAAACCGUGAAAUCUUAUCUGAGGACUCAAUCUUCCUUACAGAAUUCUACAAUAUUUAUCGUGAAGAUUUUUCACUGCCAAUAUGCUACAGACAUGUAUAUACAUUAGUAAAAGGAACUUUGCCAUCUUUGAUGGAUCAAAUUUUAAUACUAAUGUCCUAAACUUUUUGUACAUUAUGCUAAACUAUUUUUAUGAGAAGUCGUACGUUUUAAACGAACCUCGACUCGAUUUUGUUUUGAAUAAAUCUUUGAAAAAGUUUAUCAAUAUUCAUACUGAAUAUACGUAUUUUAUGGAAGUACAAGUAUCAUUGAAUAA